UGGGGAAUAUUGGACAAUGGGGGGAACCCUGAUCCAGCCAUGCCGCGUGUGUGAAGAAGGCCUUAUGGUUGUAAAGCACUUUAAGCGAGGAGGAGGGUACUGGUAUUAAUACUACCAGGUACUGGACGUUACUCGCAGAAUAAGCACCGGCUAACUCUGUGCCAGCAGCCGCGGUAAUACAGAGGGUGCGAGCGUUAAUCGGAUUUACUAGGCGUAAAGCGUGCGUAGGCGGCUAAUUGAGUCGGAUGUGAAAUCCCCGAGCUUAACUUGGGAAUUGCAUUCGAUACUGGUUAGCUAGAGUGUGGGAGAGGAUGGUAGAAUUCCAGGUGUAGCGGUGAAAUGCGUAGAGAUCUGGAGGAAUACCGAUGGCGAAGGCAGCCAUCUGGCCUAACACUGACGCUGAGGUACGAAAGCAUGGGGAGCAAACAGG
rnacentral:rRNA from 1 species